GCAGUCGCGACCGAGUGGUUAAGGCGAUGGACUAGAAAUUUAUUGAGGUCUCCCCGCACAACUUCGAAUCCUGUCGACUGCG
rnacentral:tRNA from 1 species